CUCCCAUCCGUGUCUAUUGUACCCUGUUGCUUCGGCGGCCCGCCGCUUGUCGGCCGCCGGGGGGGCGCCUCUGCCCCCCGGACCCGUGCCCGCCGGAGACCCCAACACGAACACUGUCUGAAAGCGUGCAGUCUGAGUUGAUUGAAUGCAAUCAGUUAAAACUUUCAACAAUGGAUCUCUUGGUUCCGGCAUCGAUGAAGAACGCAGCGAAAUGCGAUAACUAAUGUGAAUUGCAUGAAUUCAGUGAAUCAUCGAGUCUUUGAACGCACAUUGCGCCCCCUGGUAUUCCGGGCGGAGCAUGCCUGUCCGAGCGUCAUUGCUGCCCUCAAGCCCGGAUUGUGUGUUGUCCCGCCGUCCCCCUCUCCGGCGGAACGGGCCCGAAAGGCAGCGUCGGCACCGCGUCCGAUCCUCGAGCGUAUGCGCCUUUGUCACAUGCUCUGUAGCGAUUGGCCGGCGCCUGCCGACGUUUUCCAACCAUUCUUUCGAGGUUGACCUCGGAUCAGGUAGGGAUACCCGCUGAACUUAACCAUAUCAUA
rnacentral:rRNA from 1 species